GACGAACCACCCAAACGUUAUUCGGAAUUACUGGGCUUAAAGGGUGCGUAGGCUGUGCGGAAAGUUGGGUGUGAAAUACCUCAGCUUAACUGAGGAACUGCGCUCAAAACUACCGUGCUGGAGGGAGACAGAGGUAAGCGGAACUUAGGGUGGAGCGGUGAAAUGCGUUGAUAUCCUAAGGAACACCGGUGGCGAAAGCGGCUUACUGGGUCUCUUCUAACGCUGAGGCACGAAAGCUAGGGUAGCGAACGGG
rnacentral:rRNA from 1 species